AAAACAACAGCAAGCAAAGGUGCCAAUUUAUUGGCUUAAAAGGGAAUCCGGUGCAAAUCCGGAACUGUCCCCGCAACUGUAAGUGUGACGAACUGGGAAUACCACUGUACGAGAUUGAAGUAUGGGAAGGACUCAGCGCAGAAUGAUCACAAGUCAGGAGACCUGCCAUUUGAUUGCGAUAGUU
rnacentral:ncRNA from 2 species